GUGUUCGCUUCAGCAGCACAUAUUCUAAAAUGGGAACCAUACAGAGAACAGCAUGCUCCCUGCGCAAGCAUGACAUGCACAUUCAUGAACCGUUCCAUGUAUUU
ensembl:snRNA U6 U6 spliceosomal RNA